rnacentral:rRNA from 1 species
AUGAACGCUGGCAGAAUGCUUAACACAUGCAAGUCUUUGGCGAAGCUGUGCUUGCACAGCCUAGCCAAGGCGGACGGGUGAGUAACGCGUAAGGAACUUGCCCUGCAGUCAGGGAUAACAGACGGAAACGACUGAUAAGACCUGGUAAAGUCAGGCGGACUCAUGUCCAGCCUGAUGAAAAGAGAUGCUGCAGGAGAGCCUUGCGUCCUAUUAGCUUGUUGGUGGGGUAACGGCCCACCAAGGCGAUGAUAGGUAGCCGGCCUGAGAGGGUGGACGGCCACAAGGGGACUGAGAUACGGCCCUUACUCCUACGGGAGGCAGCAGUGGGGAAUAUUGGACAAUGGGGGCAACCCUGAUCCAGCAAUUCUGUGUGCACGAUGAAGGUUUUCGGAUUGUAAAGUGCUUUCAGCAGGGAAGAAAAAAUGACGGUACCUGCAGAAGAAGCGACGGCUAAAUACGUG